GUUUAUUCUGCUAAGUGGUUAACACAGAUAAAAGUGUUACUUAGCACUUGACUUUACUAUGAUGAGCAAAGGACAAGUUUUCAUAAGCAGUAUGUAUACAGAUUGUAUCAGUGACAGAUUUUAACAGGUUACAUUUUUGCAAGUUACUGAUACAUUCUGGGGGCCUCUGGUAGUUUUGCUGCUUUCUGGAGAUAGAAAUUAAAUUAGUGUGGUGUGUUGCCAAGGACCCAGGGACCAACGCCAAUGCCAACGCAGGAAUCGUCUGUCUGCAUUGUGAUCUGUGAGGCACUGAGAGGGCUCUGCCCUCAAACACACCUCCCCCGGGGCACAUGCCCAAACAGAACCCAGCAAACGUUAAAUAUUUCAUCUCUGGGCUAUGAAGACAAAACACCUUGAGAGUAAAGGGCAUUUGAGAGGCUGCCCUGAGGAGCUGCUCUUGUGGACAUUCUAGGAACACUGAACAGGAACUUGGCCCCUGUCACUAUUUUCUUCUAGGGCCUAUUUUGAAUAACAGUAUUUUUCUGAAUAUUGUAACUAAAUUUUUUCUUCUGGACUAGAGGCCAGAUUUGAACCAUGGUUUUAAGAAAUGUGCAUUUGGUGUCUAUCUUUAUAGACACUUAUACACAUCUCAAAAAUCACCAAAUUUGGGGAAAUGCGGACCAUAGUUUGAGAGAAUAAUAUGAGCAAUCAUGCCUACUUGCAUAGGGAACCUGCUAAAGAGUCUGAUUUCGUAGGCUUUUUUGCUGCACUAACCGGUGCAGUUAAUACCUCAUUUUCACAAAUGGCAAACUCAUGGCAACAUUAAAAAAUGAUCGUGUCCUUAGAUUAGAUUGUAAGCCCACCGGGCAGGUACUGUGUCUGAUGUUUUGUGUGGCACCUAUCACAUUGUUAGAGCUCAAUAAACGUUCAACAGUAAUGGUCUUGUGACUGUCAAAAUACAAAAAAGCUUCUACAAAGCAUUUCUCUAUUUUUAUACCUAUUUUAGUAGGCCUUUUGCUUCAAAAUUGUUUAACAAGGGGCAAAGAUGAUUGCAUUUCUAAUCAAAAGAGGUAUGUAAUUGAGAGAAAGAGCCUGAGGCCAAUUUUCUGCAGUUCCAGUACUGCUCAUGGUUCUAAUGGGUGUAUUUAUAGUGGCCUCACCUCUAGCUGAGUGAGCAAUCCAACCAUAGCUUCCUCCCAAGACAUAUGGUGUCCAGUUUCCAGGGUGCUGAAGUUUCAGAAAACCCUCAGUCUCACUUGAGAAGGGUUCCCUUCCCAAGCACAUAGCUGCUAAGGGGCUGCACCGUGUCUCCUGGGUGAUUUUCCCACCAGCACGUGAGACCUCCUUAUGACAGGGCUGAAGAGCUCAGCAUGAGCACUGUGCUAGUAGGAUCUGGUGGCUUGGUGAUCUCAGUGCUGCUGAACUGACACAUGGCCAAGAUUACAUGUUCAAGUUAUGGGUCCCAGAAAUUUCUCCAAAAUUCAGUGAUGUGAGGUCGAGCCCCUAAUAAUUUUUCUUCUACUUCAUUCUAAAUCAUUUUUCACCUUAAAUUUAGUUAAGAGAUUUACUUUGGUUUUUUUUUUUUUUUUAAGAAUGGAUGGUUGGGAUGGAAAAUGAGGCAAUAAAGUCAAAGAAAAAGGUUAAAUUUUAAUAGCUGUGUUUUCCUAUAGAGACAGCCUGGAAAGAAUUUGACUAAAAAUCACAAUCUUGGUUCCAGAAAGGAGAAUUGAAAGAGUUUUGUGUGUCCACAUAAAUAUUAUAGGCAAAAACUAAUGUGAACAUUGGGACAGUAGCCAGGUUAUUUGGCUGAUAUGGUAUAAAUAGCUAAUCUAGAACCGUGUUACCGUUUCUUAGGGUUUUCUGAGCGCCAUAGUCUUGUGGUUAAGAACACUGAAUCUGGAACCAGAUUGACAGCGUCAAAUCCCAGCUUCACCGAAAACCAGCAAUAUGACCUUGUGUUAGUAGCUGUGGUGUUCAGAGACUGGGAAACAGCAGUGCCGCUUGCUGGGAUCUUGCUUAAGGAUCUAAUACCUAUGAAAGGAAGAGAAACUUAGAAAAAUGUCACUAGCUUAGAAAUGAAGACCUUAACAGAGUACCUGCCCGGCCAGUAUCGUUUCACCUUGACAACCUCGGCUGUGAAUGGAAGGGAGGUGUCUCAGAAGACGUCCUGUAGCCAGUCUCCAUGUGCCUGGAUCUCUUGAUGUUUUCCUAAGAUGCCUUAAAUCCUUUCUACAACAAGGAACAGAGCAGAUCAACCAGCCCAUCAGUCAACCAACCAAGCAGGGGAUUCUCUGAAGCUCUGCACUCCCCUGGGGCAAAGACUGCUCUCUGUCAUCUUGCCUCAAAAAUCACAUCAAGUGAAAAUCACAGAGGUGGAGGAAACAACAAGAUACUGUGGACAUUGUCAAUACGGACUAAAAGAACGUACCUCCUGUGCACGCAGCUGGAUCUCUGCCUGUGUCGUGGAGCUGGGAGAGGACACCCCCCGACCCAGGGAGUAGCGAGUGACAAAGUCACCCACUGACUGUCCCAGAGGAUUCUACCAGCCUGCCCCACCCAUCCUACACGUGGCUGCCAGGGCCACAUCUGCAUCCCACCUGGGUAGCGGGAACAAAACCAUUAACCAGUGGCCAAGGAAGCACAGAGGUGACCCCCAGGUUUAAAACAUGGACUCAAAAGAGAUCAUUCAUCUCAAUGGUUACCAAGCAGUCUGCCUCACGGUGUGUCCAACGCACUUGCUUUAUCCCACACUGGAGAUCCGAAAGACAGACAGUGGCUGAUGUGCAAGUGACAGUGGCUUUAAGAAGAAAGGCCAGUGAUUUUUUUAAAAAAUGGAUACGAGAUGGAACCGAUGAAUGUUAAAGAAGGAAAGCCGUAGCAUCUUAGAGAAUCUCACUAAGGUUGUGAGAAUCUCCUCAACGGGCUGAAAACUACCAGCAACAAACAGCUUAGGAAUAACACUUUUUAAACAGUGAGUGAUCAAAUUUAGCGUGUGGCAGUUUGUCAAUAAUGCUGCACGUUCAAGUUGUAACAAAUCGGUGUCAAACUAUGUGAUGGGCAUGGAUGGUAGAAAAAUCUGAUGAUGAAUAUCAAAACAGCUGUGAAAAAAGAAAUAGAGAGGAGAGAGGGGAAGGUUAACUCACAGAGAAGGGAAGCUGCCCUUGCCCUGAGUCUGUGUUUACAUCUUCCCCAGAAGGAGCAGAAGGCCCACGCGUGCCCGGCCCUGUAGACCCUGCCUCCCCGGGCCUCUGUGCAGGCCUCUGGUCCAGAUCCCGCUGACAGCGAUGAGCCAUCAGGUGAUCAGUCACUGCGUGUCUCCCAGGAGAGGAAGCCUUCAGCACAUGCUCAUUUGGCUAUUCUACCAACAAUCGCCGAUGCCAACAGGAGUGUCAGACGCUGGGUCAGAGAUGGCAAGGACAUUCUCUGCCCUCCAGUCUGGCCCUGUGGCUGCAGUGACAGACAUGAGGACAGAGGGCUGAGGGGGUUGGAGCAAGGGUCCUCCACCCUGAGGAGUUGGGAGAGACAUGAGCACAGCUAAGCGUGGGCUCCACGGAGUGUGGAGGGAGUUGGGGGAAGAUGGCAGCAGGAGACCAGUCUGCAGAGGGGGGCAGAGGCCAGAUCAAAGGCAGGUGGAGUGGGGCCCUGAACUCAGGCCCAGCUCAUCUCCUGACCGGCUGUCAGGUCUUAGGUAAUCACAACUACCAGGGAACCGAGCUCCAGGGAACACACAGGAGUCACAACUACAUACACCUUCUCGGUGGACAAGCCACAGGCUGUGUGUGUAAUCAAAGGGGCCAGAGGACAAGGCCAAUCCAAGGAGGGAAGAGCCUAGGCCAGGCCUAAGGCCAGAAUGAUGCCAGCGCCCCAACACCCAGGAAGCCAAGCCAGCAUGCAACCCCAUGCCCAGGAAGCCAGGGCUUUUGUAAAAGGUCUGGUGGGAAGGAAGCUUCAACUAAGUCAACUAAUGCAAACUUAACGGGAUAGCCCACUAGGCACGAGGCCCCGUGCUGGGCAGGACAAUACUAAGGGGAGCUAUGGCCUGAGAAGGCAGCGUUCCUGGAAGCCAGCUUACCACCAGCCAGCCUGCCCUAGGCCAUACAGAGUACAAGGAAGCCAAGGACUCUGCCCUCACACUGCUGUCAGACAGACAGAUGCCCCCUCGUUACAGAGAAUAAUGCGGGCCAAGUCUGUCCUGGCUGCUUGACCUUGCUGCGGGGCGGCCUCAGACAGCCCCUGGGACAGAGCCUGGAGUCCUCUACUGGCUGGGAAAGGGAAGGGAAGUGAGUUUCAGAGGACAGCUCAAGCAACCAAGGAAAGCACAUGUACUUAGUGACUUACACCUGCUAACAAGCUGAAGACACCAGCAGCUCGUUUUAGAGCACUGAUGUCUCCCCUCAGCGCUGCUCCCUGGCAUUCCACGGACACCUCACCCUCAACAUGGCCAAAAUGGAAUUCCUCGUCUGCCGCAAGACCACUCCAGCUUUAUCUCAUCCGGUGGCACCACCAUUCACCUGGUGAUCCAGAAAACUGGCAGUCCGCAUCGGUUCUGGCCAAUCCCGAACUCCUAUGAUUACCACAGUCCUCCUGUUACUUCCCAAAUAUCUCUCAAGUCUGUCUCCCUAUCUGUACCAUUGCUGUCUCAGUUCAGGUCUCUACUAUCUUCCAUGUGCCAGCCUCCUCCCCUGUCUCCCUGCCUCUGACCUCACCUGCUCUAGAAGACCUUACCUGGCCGCCCUCCUGUGCCUCCUCCACCCUCUCUAUCAAGUACCCUGCUUUGCUUUCUUCAUAAUACUUAUACUGUCCACAAUCAUCUUGUUUACACAUCUGCUUCCUGUUCUGUGUCCCUCUCUCCAUUAUGAUAUAAGCUCCCUGAGGUCAGGAACCUUAUCUAUCUUGUUUACCAUUCUAUUUCCAUCACCUAGACUAACACCUGUAUGGAGCAGGUACUCGAGAAACAUUUGUUCACAGAAUGAACGCUCUAGAUCAUCUUUGUCUGAUGGAAAUACAAUGCAAGCCACAAAUGUGAACCGCAUGUGUAGUUUUAAAUUUUCUAGUAACCGCAUUAGAAAAGUAAAAAGACAGAGGUGAAAUUAAUUUUAGUAAUAUAUUUUAUUUAACAUGAUAUGUCCAAAAGAUGAUCAUUUCAAUGGUCAUCAAUGUCAAAGGUGUUAAUGGGAAACUUUACAUUCUUUUUUUUUUUUAAUACUAAGGCUCUGCAAUUUUGUGUGUAUUUUACAGUAUAACUCAUUUCAGGCUAGUCACAUUUCAAGUGCUUAAUAGCUACCUGUGGCCAGUGGCGUCUGUAUUGGACUUCACAGUUCUAUAUGUAUUCCUCCUAUCUUAUCAAGCUGGCUUCGGUUAUGCUCUCUGCUACUUUAGGAAUGGAUGUGACAAUUAAAUCACUAACAAGAGGACUCAAACAUCCUCAGAGAGUCUACCAUGUUUCCAGCAUUGUUCUAAGAAGUGGUCAGACAAAGAUGAAUCACAAACACAUUUCGCCCCAAAAGACCACAGGCUAGUGUGGGAAAAACACAUGUAAACAAUUAGCAUGCAAGGUGAUAAAAGAUUUAUGUACAAAUUGCUGUAGGAAUCACCAAUCUUGUCUGAAGGAGUCAAGAAAAGCUUCAGAGAGGAGUUGAGGCUUUAGACCAGCCUUGCAGAACAAGUAGAAGCUGGAUAAGCAAGCAAGGA